rnacentral:rRNA from 1 species
UACGUAGGGGGCGAGCGUUAUCCAGAUUUACUGGGCGUAAAGCGCGUGUAGGCGGCUGGUUAGGUGUGAUGUGAAAUCUUCGGGCUCAACCCGAAAACUGCAUUGCAAACCGGCCUGGCUAGAGUGCAGGAGAGGGAAGCGGAAUUCCAGGUGUAGCGGUGAAAUGCGUAGAUAUCUGGAGGAAUACCGGUGGCGAAGGCGGCAUCCUGGACCGACAUUGACGCUGAGGAGCGAAAGCUAGGGGAGCAAACGGG